rnacentral:lncRNA from 1 species
ACCCUGUAACAAUUUUCAUAACAAAUAAUCAGCACAUAUGCAUCAUAUGACUAGAUAUAGAACUUAAUCAAAUUAAUAAGAUAUGUCAAUAUAUUCUAAGCCAUCCUAUUAUAGAAUAAGAUAGAAACCACAACCUAACACCUUACAUCGACAACUACAUGAUGCCGACACACUUGGACAAUCCUCAAUAUGUCUACAAAGGUUCUAAUUCAUUUUAAUGAAAACCUUAUUUUGAUUCUUCAAUUUGUAAAAUAGAUGGACUCCACAUAAACAACAAAGAUGUAUAGCAUAAGGCUAUAAGCAAUGGGCUAAACAGUAUUUAAGAAAUCUACUAUGUAGAAAUAUUAAAUUUCGAGCCAAUAGGGAUAUAUCCAGAACCUAUAAAAGUACAAAUCUUGAUCUGCCACUAUGUUUUAUUAUUACACAAAUAAUUCAAAAUUCACUGAACAAACUAACCUUUGCGAGGAUGAUAUCCAAUAGAUCAGCUCCAGCUCUUGAAUCACACAACUCUUGCUGAUGGCUGUUAAACCAAAAAAAAUAAAAUAUAUAUAAAUAAUAGAAAAAUAACUAUUAGUCAAAAAAGAAAGCUUAACAAGACUUCUUUUAGAUCAUUUUUUAAUUAACUAAAAUCAAUUUGCUAUGGAAAUGUUACCUCACAUGCCAUCUGAGAGGUCUGAAAGGUUCAUUCACAGUAGCGUUCAAAAGGCCGAGACGCCGAGGCUUAGGGCAAACAACGGCUUCCUUUUUAUUAUCAGAAAUUGAACUCCACAUAUCUUCACAAGCGGCGAAAGCACCUUGUUGAAUUGCACAGUGAUUCAUCU